rnacentral:lncRNA from 1 species
AAUAAAUACUGCACAUGUGCUCCUAAAAUUUAAGUAAAUCGUGCAGUAAUUUAAGUGAUUACAUUUGUGAAAACACUCUUACUAGAAGAUGUCCCGUCGAAUUGACAAAAUAUUUAAUGCACUAAACAACGCCAAUGAGAGUGUCAUCAUGCAAGAAAAUGUGGAUAAUAAUCCAACAUUAAAUAGAGAAAAGGGAAAGUCUUACCAAGGAAAAAAAAGAAAAUGGAAAAUGGAGGUAUGACUUAUUAAAAGAACCAAAAUCCAUAAGAGAAAGUUGCAAUUGUAAGUUAAGUAAAAAUAACAAUUCCGUCCUAAUGUGCACUAAAAUAAGUGAACCUGAGAGAAGAAGAAUUUUCAAAGAGUUCUGGCAAUACACUUGGGCCGAAAAGAAGAUGUUCGUAAGAAACCAUGUAUGUGUAAAAAGUACCUCUAGAAAACGAGGCCUGAAUGAAGUUUCGAGAAGAACAUAUUCAAACGAAUUUUUCUUAGGUUCCUCUAGGCUAAGAAUUUGUAAAACAAUGUUUUUAAACACCCUUUGGUGUGAAGGAUUGGGUCAUUAAGAAAUGGGCCAAGAUCGGACUAGAGGAAAAUGUGACUGUGCAAACUCAUCAAAAUUCUGAUAAUAAUAAUCAUGGUGUGAAACAGCUUCAAAUAUUCUUUGAUUCCCUACCAAAACUGGAAUCGCACUAUUGUAGAGCUACCUCGUCAAAACUUUACCUGGAACCUAUUUGGACUAGCAAAAGCCAACUGUACAAGUUCUACAAAUCUGAUUUCUGCAUAAAUCAAAAUGAGAAAGCGGUAUUAAUAGCUACUUUUCACAAA